UUGUGGAGCGAUUUGUCUGGUCAAUUCCGAUAAUAAACGAGACUAGCCUACUAAAUAGUUCGAGGACCCCCAUAAAGGGGUCCAGCUUAAACUUCUUGGAGGGGACAGGUGGCGUUUAGCCACACGAGAUUGAGCAAUAACA
rnacentral:rRNA from 1 species